rnacentral:lncRNA from 1 species
CCUCCUUAGGCAUUCAGUCAGUGAAGAUGUUGAGAUACUUCAGAUGGAGAGAAAUUCUACACAAUAACAUUAAAAGCCGGGAUACAAGGGUGUUACCACAGCAAGGCUAACAAGCUGGAACCUGAAUGGCAAUGGAAGCUGAAAAGGGAAUAGCAAAUGAUAUACACCAAAGCAUUUGUUUAAAGGGGCAUGAAGAUAAGCCUUCAACCACAUCAGUUAAAAAUGUAAAUGUUUGAAAGACACUAUUGUCACACUACUUAACCAAAUAGAUAAAAAGAAGUGUAAGAAUACUACGAAAGUUGGUUGUUUGGAAAAGACAAAAGCUGUGCAAACAAUUGAACCUUGAAGUGUAAGAUAAUUAAUGAGCCAAAAACAUAGGAGAAAAGAGCAUUACACUCUUAAAUGAGGAGAGAAUCAUACCUUAAACAGAAUGAAAACAAUGCAGAUAAAAAAAGAAGAGUGCUUUUCAAUUAUGAAGACACUGGAAAAUUAGCGAGUUGUUAAAUAGAAACAUCAUACAGUUUAGGUUCCUGUACAUUUUUCAGGAGUCUGAGCCAACUAAUCGGAGCGGUGGUGUAAUGAAGAAAAGAAGAAAGAGAAGGGAGUAAAAUGUGAGAAGCAUUCUCCUUAAAAUCAGAAUCAAAAUAAAGAUGCCACUGUUACUACUUUUAAUCUACUCAACAUUGUACUAGUGAUCAUAGCCAGAACAACACAGCAAAAUUAGAAUGAGAACAAGUCUGUACUGUCUGUCCUACUGGAGAAUGAGAGACCCAUGGAACAGAGCUCAAACAUGAGGCCAUCCUAGACCAGCCAGCCCAUUGCUAACCUGACAACUCUCUAGAAGAGACACUGACACACAAGGAGUACAGUCACAUGAAGAUGGAGGCAGAGUGGAGUUACACCACCCCAAGCCAAGGA